CAUGUAUUUCAUGUUGUAUUUCUUGUGCUGUGUGUGUGCAGCUUGAAUUAGUGUAUCCUUUAUGCAAACACUCCUCAUGCAUUUGGUGAACAGAUCCUUCAGGCUGCGGCUCGUGUCCAGAGCUGUAACUGUGUUUGGACCACAGCGAGGGAAGAGAGAGACAGUAAAUUAUGACGAAGGAGAGGGAAGCUGAUGGAAGGGAGCAGGAAACCAGACCAAACAUGGGCACAGGUGACGCACGGAGGAUACCCAGUUUCCAUAGCAACAGGCAGGUGCAAGACACUGGGAGCGAGCUUUCGAUCUGCUGAGGGAGAGUUACACAACAAACACACAACAUGUGAAGACGAACACGCCUGCGUGAACAUGGUAGUGCUGCCAGACGAGAUAUGAUUGACCAACCAGGACACGGACUCUGCUGACCCUUAAAACACACAUGGAUGCUGGGAAACGCCUGAC
ensembl:lncRNA